rnacentral:rRNA from 1 species
UACGUAGGUGGCAAGCGUUGUCCGGAUUUACUGGGCGUAAAGGGCGUGCAGGCGGUUUGUUAAGUGCAGAGUGAAAGCUCCCGGCUCAACUGGGAGAGGUCUUUGCAUACUGGCAAACUCGAGGGAGGCAGAGGAAAGUGGAAUUCCCGGUGUAGUGGUGAUAUGCGUAGAUAUCGGGAGGAACACCUGUAGCGAAGGCGGCUUUCUGGGCCUUACCUGACGCUGAGACGCGAAAGCGUGGGGAGCGAACCGG